GAUAAUGAUAAGGUGAUAGGAGAAGAUGUAAAGACAGAGACGGAGAAGCCAAGAACGAGUAACGGUUUACCAGAACCGGAGACAGAUAAACCAAAACUAAAAGAUGGUUCGCUGGAGAUUCCGGUUCUGAAGAACACGAGGAAACCACCUAGGUUCGGUCGGCAAAAGUCGCUUAAAGCUAGCCAAGAAAGUAAGAAGUCUGCGUUGGGAGUGACGAAGCCACCGAGGAGACAAGACACGCUGGAGACGACGUGGAAGAAGAUAACGGAAGGACGCUCGACGCCGUUAAUUAAACACUUGUCGAAAUCCGACAAGUGGCAAGAAAGGUCGCACGUGCGAAGCUCAAAGGAGAAGACGACCAAGUCUGAGAACUCUACGGAGGAGGAGACGUUGCGGAAAACGCGUCUGAAACGCGAGCCGUCGCCGGGUCAGGAGGAGCUGAACCGGCGCGUGGAAGCGUUUAUCAAGAAGUUCAACGAAGAGAUGAGACUGCAAAGAUUGGAAUCUUUGGCCAAGUAUAACGAAUUGGUGCUAAAUGGAGGGACUCGUUUGUAAAUAAAUAUUCUUAUGUUUUCUUAGCUGUCGGAGAAGACUAGACGGCACCGGCACAGUCGCAAAUGUUGACUCUUUUUAGAACCACUUAAAAGGUUUUUUUUUGUCUUCAUGGGAAGAUAAAAUUGUAUGUGUUGAUUGUUUGUGUAUGUAUGUAUGAUUGUUCUAUUUAUACUUUCAAAAAAUCACAUUAAUCAUGUGGUUUAAAUGAAAGAUAUUGGGUAAACAGAGAGUAGACAGUGGACUAGUGAUUGAAUCCAUUGUUUGUUUGCUUUCUUAUAAACAAUAUUAUUAUUACUAUUUAUAAUAGAGAAAAAGACUAUUAUAGCACCAAACCAAGUUUUUGUUCCCAAAGUAGCACUCAAGGUUCAAAGUCACAAAAAUAUAUUUCAUUAAAGAGGUAAAUAUACACUUAUACCCCUUGGGUUAAUUAAUCCAAACCUUAGGGUUUAGAGUUAAGGGGUGGGGUUUUGGAAUUAGGGUUUAAAAUUUUAUAACAAAUAAAUACUAAAAUAAAAAAUAAAAAUUUUAAAAACAGUUUCAAAAAGUAUUUUUAAAUUAUAAAAAGAAAAUUUGAAAAAAAAAUAAAAAAAAAAUUUCAAAAAAAAAAAUUAUAAAAAUUUUGAAUCUGAAAACAUAUAAUCUGAAACUAUAAAAAAAACGCAAGCAAGCACUCCUCAAUAUCCAGUAUCCAGGUAUGUAAACAAUAUUGCUUUCUGGUUGUAUCAUCUAUAAAGAUGUAAGAAAAACAAAGAAGUAAACAGUACCCCUCUCAUUCAAUUUUCAUGAGCUCCCACGGUUUAUCAAUCUGCGCCAACUUUGGUUGCUUUGUUUGUUACAGUUUCUACACUACGGGUCAAGCUAAUCCCGCGGCUAAUGGUAUGACCCCAAACACAACAGUUAAACCUCAGUCAUCAUCAUCCUCGGCGACGAGCACUACACCAUCUUCUCAAACAGGCAAAGAGUUUGAUUUUUCUUCCUUGAUGGAUGGAAUGUUCACUAAACAUUGAUCAAGAGAGGGACCUUUUCUGAAUUUUGUGCAUCUUAAAAUUUGUCCUGUAUUUGAAGAACUAAAAAUAUAUAUAUACAAUAAUAAUCUACGAUCAGCUUUUUCAUCAAACAAUUCUUUUCGUUGAAUUUUUUUGUUAUAGUUUGGACUAUGGUUUACAAAUAAACUGUAGGUAAAACACUGAAGCUGUAGGUUUAUGUGAAAAGCUAUAUAACAUGUACACGUAAAUUUCAAGCAAAACAAUCAAGUUGUUGUUAACUACACCUAACUAUUGUGAAGUAUGCUUUGUUCUAGAAACCAAACUUGAUAGUUGCUUUGCCUAUGUAAAGAUGGAUACGUACGAUUGCUUUUUGGAACUAAGCAAAGAAAACAAACGGCUAGAAAACCCGUUCAAACAGAAAGUUAUCGACCUUUAUUGGUAAGAUCAAUAAAGGCUACGUGUUGAUGUUGAACUUGUUAUGUAUGGACGGCUGUUUAAGCGUUACAAAAGGUUUGAGUUUGGCAUUGUUCGGGCUUUCGGUCAAAUGGCUUAAAUAAAAAACUCAUUCAUUCUCCUCUCCUUCACCACAAGUUUUUGUACCUCCCUCUCGCCAACCUUUGUUUACCUUUUUCCUUUUAAGAUGUCAUGUUCGUGAACCAAUUCAAUUGUAGAUAAGAUUAUAGUUAUUAAUGUUUGGUUCUUAAAUAGCCUUUUUAUAUAGUAGCAAACUAACGACUCAAAGACUGCGCGCGGGAUAGUUAAGUUCGGCAAUAUGAUAAAGACAACUUGUAAAUGCCUUUUGUUCAAAUCAUCCAGUUAAUAUCUAAUCUAAUUAAGUUGUGUAGAUUGGUUUUGUUGUUUUAGUUUUCUUAAAUUCUUGUGAAUCUUGCCAUUUUAGGUCUGUCGCAAUCAAGCUAAUAAAACACGUAAUAUGAUAAUUAAUGCAACACAGGAGACAAGUCAGACUCGACAGCCUUAUUCAUUUUGUUGUUUAUAAAAUAUAUAUAUAUACACGUUAUAUAUUUUAAGUUCUAUAAUCUAUAAAGGAUAUACACAGCAUUCUUUAACCAAUAAGAAGAAGAGGAUAUACACAAUAUAGCCAACAUGCAUUCAAAAUACAAGAAGAUAAAUCAUUUUCAAGCAAAAAAAAUCCAAAAUGGUCGGUGUUUUUUUUGUUGACCUGUAAUGCGAUCUAUAUCUUUCAUUGGUUUGAAUUGUCAAAUCAAAAAUAGUAAUAAACAAACUAUGCAUAGGCGCGUUAUGCAAAACAAAAUUGAACGCUAGAAUUGAGAAUGAACGAACGUAUGCAUAUCCAUCUCAAUUAUUUUUGUUUUCUUAGAUCUGCAUGUACUUAUUUGAAGCAUUUUUUACAUAUAUCAUAAUUCUCAUUCUCACUCUGAAUUUCAAACUAUUAAUUUUAUAAUGUCAAUGAAUAUGGCCUACAGCAAUACCUAAAAAUCAUACCUUGGCUGUUUGGAAUGUUAUGGCAACUAACUCACACAUUUCUCUAUAAUGACUAUUUUCUCUUUAAUUCUUUUAACUAUCUUGUCAUCGUUUGUUGUUUUUCUGCGAACCAACAUCGUUUAUUGUUCUAUUUUAAAAAGAAAACCAUUUUACCGUGUUAUACUAUGUUUUUGAGCCACCAAUGUAUCUCUAUCCUGAAGUUUCUCUUUUGUCGUCUCUAUAUCCUGAAGACUCACAAUCAGCUUAACUUUUGUUGCUAAGUGAAAAGAAAAAUCAACGCUACGACUUGGUACGUACUUGGUAGAUUCUCUCGCAAUUCUAUAAUCUUUAAAUGCCAUACAUACAUUUAUUGUCAAAUCUUGUUGUAGUGUUAGGUAUGGUCUAACUUCAAGCGAGAAAACCAAACCCAAACUGCCACGUGUAACUCAGAUAAGCCUCCUAAACCAUACCUUCUGUAAAGGUCCCACUUAUGAGUCUGUAAAAGGCCAACACAAUAGGGACCACAUCUUAAUUUUAAUUUCAUCAUUUUAUUAAUAAUUUAACAUAUAUAUACACACACCUCAGCUUCUUCUGUAGAUAAUAAGAUCAUCAUCGCCUUGACAAAAAAAAAAUCAUCAUCACCAUGCAGCUCCUCCCUACCUCUUCCUUUAAAACGACAGCCACCGUCGUCAUCGCCGGAGUCUUCUCUGUUUCGGCGGCGGUGAGUUUAGCCGUUCCAUCAGUUUCCCAUUUUGCUGCUUCUUGCUUUCCGAUCAUUUACGAUAGCACCAUCUUCCUCCUUAAGCCACCGUAUCUUUACCUAGUCAUCAACUGUAUCAUCCUCUCCAUCGUCGCUACAUCCAAGUUCACGCAUGAAUCAUGUUCCAGUACUGACGAUCCUGAUACGGUCGUACCGGUACCGGUACCUACUUAUAUCGACGCCGGUUAUCUAAACGUGGCGCACGUCGCCGGUUCUGAUUAUACCGGAUUUGUGGAGAAUGAUGCGACGGUGAAAGAUGUCCACGAAGUCAUUGAUAAUGAUAAGGUGAUAGGAGAAGAUGUAAAGACAGAGACGGAGAAGCCAAGAACGAGUAACGGUUUACCAGAACCGGAGACAGAUAAACCAAAACUAAAAGAUGGUUCGCUGGAGAUUCCGGUUCUGAAGAACACGAGGAAACCACCUAGGUUCGGUCGGCAAAAGUCGCUUAAAGCUAGCCAAGAAAGUAAGAAGUCUGCGUUGGGAGUGACGAAGCCACCGAGGAGACAAGACACGCUGGAGACGACGUGGAAGAAGAUAACGGAAGGACGCUCGACGCCGUUAAUUAAACAC
rnacentral:lncRNA from 1 species